rnacentral:rRNA from 1 species
GACGAACGCUGGCGGCGUGCUUAACACAUGCAAGUCGAACGGAAAGGCCCUGCUUUUGUGGGGUGCUCGAGUGGCGAACGGGUGAGUAACACGUGAGUAACCUGCCCUUGACUUUGGGAUAACUUCAGGAAACUGGGGCUAAUACCGGAUAGGAGCUCCUGCUGCAUGGUGGGGGUUGGAAAGUUUCGGCGGUUGGGGAUGGACUCGCGGCUUAUCAGCUUGUUGGUGGGGUAGUGGCUUACCAAGGCUUUGACGGGUAGCCGGACUGAGAGGGUGAACGGCGAAAAUGGGACUGAGAUACGGCCCAGACGCCAACGGGAGGCAGCAGUGGGGAAUAUUGCACAACGGGCGGAAGCCUGAUGCAGCAACGCCGCGUGCGGGAUGACGGGCUUCGGGUUGUAAACCGAUUUCGCCUGUGACGAAGCGUGAGUGACGGUAAUGGGUAAAGAAGCACCGGCUAACUACGUG